GAGUCCUGGCUGCCCGGGAGCUCAUUCUGUAGACUAGGCUGUUCUCAAACUCACAAAGAUCUGCCUGCCUCUUGCUGGGACUAAAAGUGUGCACCACCAUGCCUGGCUUAUGAAUCUUUUUACAGUGACAAGAAUACUAGGCAACCAAAAGAAUGAAAAUGAGAAAUGACUUAAAAAAGAAACUAUAAGAUCAAUGCAAAAAUAAAAGACAUCUUCCAAAUGCAUUCAAACCAGAAUAAGGUUUAAAUAAUACCUUCUGAUACCGACUUCAUACUCAAGGCAGAACCUUCACAAAGCUACAGACAAGGCACAGUGAUGACGCAAUUACCGGAGAGAGUGAAGUUUCUGCAGAAGCUUUAAGCUGAAUAGGCUCAGUGAGGAACCAUCUUUUCCUAAGCCCAAGCAGAAACAUGCUCAUGUUUUUAUAACACAGAGUUCCAUGAUGAUGGAAUGUUGCCUAUAUGUUCAAAGGUAUCUUAGAUGUGCUUUGCUUUUUUCUAAUUUUGAAGCACUGAUAUUGACUCAAUGAAAUCAGUAAAGGAUCUAAGAAUGGAUAUGCUUUUUAUAAAGGAAGAAAGAAAAAGAUUUGUAAGCUAGUAAAAGUGCCCAAAAGUAAUGGUAUUUUUAAAUAUGUUUUCAUACUUGAUACAAUUCUUUUUUAAAUAUGUGUACUGUUUU